CGCGGAAGGGUUGUAGGACAUGAAAAUGAUAUGGCACUGGACUUAUGGGACGAACACAAGAACACUCGAAACUAAGGGUAGAUGUGAACCUAACGGUAUACCUGAAGCUUUGAUUACCACUUGAUGAGAACAAGGGUGGCCCGAUCUUCUGAAAGGUUCUCGUAACUCUCGAUUUGGUGAAGACGAGACACAAAUCUAUGUGGCUUCCGAACAACACGAUCCGAAACCCCGCAUUUUUUUAUUUUUUUAAUAUUUUUCAUUUACUUAAGAGCACUAAAGAAGUAACCACAGAAAAUUUGAGCUUAAUCAAGUAAAAGACGUGGCCUGCGGAAUUUUGUGAAGAUUACAAAAAAUGUGAAAAAAACUUCACAAGGUGAAAACUCAAAAUUCGAAGACGAAUUUGGAGAUUCUAAAAUUUUCAAACCCCCUAAAACUGAGGACAGACAGACACUAAAUUUUUUUCUGAUCGAUUUUGAUAUAUGGAACAUUGAAAUCGGAGUUUGUAUGUGAAAGUUAUGGCUGUUUUACGAACGGACUCCGAAUUUGAGGACAAAACGGUCCGAAAGUGGGAAAAAGUAGCGUCGAUGGCUAGAAAUUGAUGGAAACGGUGGGGAAAAACACAAACUGGACUCUAACAAGACCUAACCAGCAACAAGACCUCGUCCAGGACACAAACUCAAAACUGCGGACUCAGAAACUGAAAUAUGCAAAGGCUAUGGCGCGGAAGGGUUGUAGGACACAAAAAUGAUAUGGCACUGGACUUAUGGGACAAACACAAGAACACUCGAAACUAAGGGUAGAUGUGAACCUAACGUUAUACCUGAACCUUUGAUUACCACUUGAUGAGAACAAGGGUGGCCCGAUCUUCCAAAAGGUUCUGUUAACUCUCGAUUUCGUGGAGACGAGACACAAAUCGAUCCGGCUUUCGAACAACACGAUCCGAAACCCUGCAAUUUUUUUUAUUUUUUUGAUAUUUUUCUUUUACUUAGGUGCACUAAAGAAGUAACCACAGAAAAUUUGAGCUUAAAUAAGUGAAAGACGUGGCCUGCGGAAUUUUCUAAAUUUUGUGAAAAAAGUGAAAAAAACUUCACGAGGUGAAAACUUAAACUUCGGAGUCGUAUUUCGAAAUUCUAAAAUUUUCAAAACCGCUAGUGGUAGGGACAGGCAGACCCAAAAUUUUUUUCUGAUUGAUUUUGAUAUAUGGAACGUUGAAAUCGGAGUUCGUACGUGAAUUGUAUGGCUAUUUUACGAACGGACUCCGAAUUAGAGAACAAAACGGUCCGAAAGUGGGAAAAAUUUGUGGCGAUGGCUAGAAAUUGAUGGAAACGGUGGGGAAAAACAUACUAACUGGACUCUAACAAGUCCUAACCAGCAACAACCUCGACCAGGACACAAACUCAAAACUGCGGACUCUGAAUCUGAAAUAUGCAAAAGCUUUGGCGCGGAAGGUUGUAGAACAGGAAAACAAUAUGGCACUGGACUUAGACGAACAUAAGAACACUCGAAACUAAGGGUAGAUGUGAACCUAACGGUAUACCUAAAGCUUUGAUUACCACUUGAUGAGAACAAGGGUGGCCCAAUCUUCCGAAAAGUUCUAGUAACUCUCGAUUUGGUGGAGACGAGACACAAAUCCAUACAGCUUCUGAACAACACGAUCCGAAACCCUGCAUUUUUUUAUUUUAUUGAUAUUUUUAUUUUACUUAGGAAUGCUAAAGGAGUAACCAUAGAAAAUUUGAGCUUAAGCAAGUGAAAGACAUGGCCUGUGGAAUUUUCUGAAGAUUGUGAAAAAUGUGAAAAAACUUCACGUAUUGGAAACUCAAACUUCGGAGGCGAAUUUCAGGAUUCUAAAAUUGUCAAACCCGCGAAAGUUAGGGACAAACAGAUUUGAAAUUUUUUUCUGAUCUAUUUUGAUACAUGAAACGUUCAAAUUGGAGUUCGUAUGCAAAGGUUAUCGCUGUUUUACGAACAGACUUCAAAUUUGAGGACAAAACGGUCCGAAAGUGGGAAAAUUUUGCGGCGGUGGCAAGAAAUUGAUGGAAACGGUGGGGAAAAGAUAUGAACUGGACUCUAACAAGACCUAACCAGCAACAAGACCUCGACCAGGACACAAACUCAACACUGCGGACUCUGAAACUGAAAUAUGCAAAGGCUAUGGCGGGGAAGGGUUGUAGGACAGGAAAACGAUAUGGCACUGGACUUAUGGGACGAACACAAGAACACUCAAAACUAACGGUAUACCUGAAGCUUUGAUUACCACUUGAUGAGAACAAGGGUGGCCCGAUCUUCUGAAAGGUUCUCGUAACUCUCAAUUUGGUGAAGACGAGACACAAAUCGAUGUGGCUUCCGAACAACACGAUCCGAAACCCCGCAUUUUUUUAUUUUUUUUAAUAAUUUCCUUUUACUUAGGAGCACUAAAGAAGUAACCACAUAAAAUUUGAGCUUAAUCAAGUAAAAGACGUGGCCUGCAAAAUUUUGUAAAUAUUACAAAAAAUGUGAAAAAAACUUCACAAGGUGAAAACUCAAACUUCGAAGACGAAUUUGGAGAUUCUAAAAUUUUCAAACCCCCUAAAACCGAGGACAGACAGACACUAAAUUUUUUUCUAAUCGAUUUUGAUAUAUGGAACAUUGAAAUCGGAGUUUGUAUGUGAAAGUUAUGGCUGUUUUACGAACGGACUCCGAAUUAGAGGACAAAACGGUCCGAAAGUGGGAAAAAGUUGCGGCGAUGGCUAGAAAUUGAUGGAAACGGUGGGAAAAAAAACACAAACUGGACUCUAACAAGACCUAACCAGCAACAAGACCUCGACCAGACACAAACUCAAAACUGCGGACUCGGAAACUGAAAUAUGCAAAGGCUAUGGCGCGGAAGGGUUGUAGGACAGAAAAAUGAUAUGGCACUGGACUUAUGGUACAAACACAAGAACACUCGAAACUAAGGGUAGAUGUGAACCUAACGGUAUACCUGAAGCUUUGAUUACCACUUGAUGAAAACAAGGGUGGCCCGAUCUUCCGAAAGGUUCUAUUAACUCUCGAUUUGGUGGAGAUGAGACACAAAUCGAUCCGGCUUCCGAACAACACGAUCCGAAACCCUGCAAUUUUUUUUUAUUUUUUUGAUAUUUUUCUUUUACUUAGGUGCACUAAAGAAGUAACCACAGAAAAUUUGAGCUUAAACAAGUGAAAGACGUGGCCUGCGAAAUUUUCUAAAUUUUGUGAAAAAAGUUUAAAAAACUUCACGAGGUGAAAACUUAAACUUCGGAGGCGUAUUUGGAAAUUCUAAAAUUUUCAAACCCGCUAGUGGUAGGGACAGGCAAACCCAAAAAAAUUUUUCUGAUUGAUUUUGAUAUAUGGAACGUUGAAAUCGGAGUUCGUACGCGAAUGUUAUGGCUAUUUUACGAACGGACUCUGAAUUAGAGAACAAAACGGUCCGAAAGUGGGAAAAAUUUGUGGCGAUGGCUAGAAAUUGAUGGAAACGGUGGGGAAAAACAUACUAACUGGUCUCUAACAAGACCUAACCAGCAACAACCUCGACCAGGACACAAACUCAAAACUGCAGACUCUGAAUCUGAAAUAUGCAAAAGCUAUGGCGCGGAAGGGUUGUAGAACAGGAAAACAAUAUGGCACUGGACUUAUGGGACGAACACAAGAACACUCGAAACUAAGGGUAGAUGUGAACCUAACGGUAUACCUAAAGCUUUGAUUACCACUUGAUGAGAACAAGGGUGGCCCGAUCUUCCGAAAAGUUCUGGUAACUCUCGAUUUGGUGGAGACGAGACACAAAUCGAUACAGCUUCUGAAUAACACGAUCCGAAACCCUACAUUUUUUUAUUUUUUUGAAAUUUUUAUUUUACUUAGGAGUGCUAAAGGAGUAACCACAGAAAAUUUGAGCUUAAGCAAGUGACAGACAUGGCCUGUUGAAUUUUCUGAAGAUUGUGAAAAAUGUGAAAAAACUUCACGUAUUGGAAACUCAAACUUCGGAGGCGAAUUUCAGGAUUCUAAAAUUGUCAAACCUGCGAAAGUUAGGGACAAACAGAUUUGAAAUUUUUUCUGAUUUAUUUUGAUAUAUGAAACGUUGAAAUCGGAGUUCGUAUGCGAAGGUUAUGGCUAUUUUACGAACAGACUUCGAAUUAGAGGACAAAACGGUCCGAAAGUGGGAAAAUUUUGCGGCGGUGGCAAGAAAUUGAUGGAAACGGUGGGGAAAAGAUAUGAACUGGACUCUAACAAGACCUAACCAGCAACAAAACCUCGACCAGGACACAAACUCAACACUGCAGACUCUGAAACUGAAAUAUGCAAAGGCUAUGGCGUGGAAGGGUUGUAGGACAGGAAAACGAUAUGGCACUAGACUUAUGGGACGAACACAAGAACACUCAAAACUAACGGUAGAUGUGAACCUAACGGUAUACCUGAAGCUUUGAUUACCACUUGAUGAGAACAAGGGUGGCCCGAUCUUCUGAAAGGUUCUCAUAACUCUCGAUUUGGUGAAGACGAGACACAAAUCGAUCUGGCUUCCAAACAACACAAUCCGAAACCCCGCAUUUUUUUAUUUUUUUAAUAUUUUCCUUUUACUUAGGAGCACUAAAGAAGUAACCACAUAAAAUUUGAGCUUAAUCAAGUAAAAGACGUGGCCUGCGGAAUUUUGUGAAGAUUACAAAAAAUGUGAAAAAAACUUCACAAGGUGAAAACUCAAACUUCGAAGACGAAUUUGGAGAUUCUAAAAUUUUCAAACCCCCCAAAACCGAGGACAGAUAGACACUAAAUUUUUUUCUCAUCGAUUUUGAUAUAUGGAACAUUGAAAUCGGAGUUUGUAUGUGAAAGUUAUGGCUGUUUUACGAACGGACUCCGAAUUAGAGGACAAAACGGUCUGAAAGUGCGAAAAAGGUUCGGCGAUGGCUAGAAAUUUAUGGAAACGGAGGGAAAAAAAUACAAACUGGACUCUAACAAGACCUAACCAGCAACAAGACCUCGACCAGGACACAAACUCAAAACUGCGGACUCGGAAACUGAAAUAUGCAAAGGCUAUGGCGCGGAAGGGUUGUAGGACACAAAAAUGAUAUGGCACUGGACUUAUGGGACAAACACAAGAACACUCGAAACUAAGGGUAGAGGUGAACCUAACGGUAUACCUGAAGCUUUGAUUACCACUUCAUGAGAACAAGGGUGGCCCGAUCUUCCGAAAGGUUCUGUUAACUCUCGAUUUGGUGGAGACGAGACACAAAUCGAUCCGGCUUCCGAACAACACGAUCCGAAACCCUGCAAUUUUUUUUAUUUUUUUGAUAUUUUUCUUUUACUUAGGUGCAUUAAAGAAGUAACCACAGAAAAUAUGAGCUUAAACAAGUGAAAGACGUGGCCUGCGGAAUUUUCUAAAUUUUGUGAAAAUGUGAAAAAAACUUCACGAGGUGAAAACUUAAACUUCGGAGGCGUAUUUGGAAAUUCUAAAAUUUUCAAACCCGCUAGUGGUAGGGACAGGUAGACCCGAAAUUUUUUUCUGAUUGAUUUUGAUAUAUGGAACGUUGAAAUCGGAGUUCGUACGCGAAUGUUAUGCUAUUUUACGAACGGACUCCAAAUUAGAGAACAAAACGGUCCGAAAGUGGGAAAAAUUUGCGGCGAUGGCUAGAAAUUGAUGAAAACGGUGGGGAAAAACAUACUAACUGAACUCUAACAAGACCCAACCAGCAACAACCUCGAUCAGGACACAAACUCAAAACUGCGGACUCUCAAUCUAAAAUAUGUAAAAGCUAUGGCGCGGAAGGGUUGUAGAACAGGAAAACAAUAUGGCACUGGACUUAUGGGACGAACACAAGAACACUAGAAACUAUGAGUAGUUGUGAACCUAGCGGUAUACCUAAAGCUUUGAUUAACACUUGAUGAGAACAAGGGUGGCCCGAUCUUCCGAAAAGUUCUGUUAACUCUCGAUUUGGUGGAGACGAGACACAAAUCGAUACAGCUUCUGAACAACACGAUUCGAAACCCUAUAUUUUUUUAUUUUUUUUGAUAUUUUUAUUUUACUUAGGAGUGCUAAAGGAGUAACCACAGAAAAUUUGAGCUUAAGCAAGUGAAAGACAUGGCCUGUGGAAUUUUCUGAAGAUUGUGAAAAAUAUGAAAAAACUUCACGUAUUAGAAACUCAAACUUCGGAGGCGAAUUUUAGGAUUCUAAAAGUGUCAAACCCGCGAAACUUAGGGACAACCAGAUCUGAAUUUUUUUUCUGAUCGAUUUUGAUAUAUGAAACCUUGAAAUCGGAGUUCGUAUGCGAAAGUUAUGGCUGUUUUACGAGCAGACUUCGAAUUAGAGGACAAAACGGUCCGAAAGUGGAAAAAUUUUGCGCCGGUGGCCAGAAAUUGAUGGAAACGGUGGGGAAAACACAUGAACUGGACUCUAACAAGACCUAACCAGCAACAAGACCUCGACUAGGACACAAACUCAACACUGCGGACUCUGAAACUGAAAUAUGCAAAGGCAAUGGCGCGGAAGGGUUGUAGGACAGGAAAACUAUAUAGCACUGGACUUAUGGAACGAACACAAGAACACUCAAAACUAAGGGUAGAUGUGAACCUAAUGGUAUACAUGAAGCUUUGAUUACCAUUUGAUGAGAACAAGGGUGGCCCAAUCUUCCGAAAAGUUCUAGUAACUCUCGAUUUGGUGGAGACGAGACACAAAUCGAUAUGGCUUCCGAACAACACGAUCCGAAACCCCGCAUUUUUUUUAUUUUUUUAAUAUUUUCCUUUUACUUAGGAGCACUAAAGAAGUAACCACAGAAAAUUUGAACUUAAUCGAGUAAAAGACGUGGCCUGCGGAAUUUUGUGAAGAUUACAAAAAAUGUGAAAAAAACUUCACAAGGUGAAAACUCAAACUUCGAAGACGAAUUUGGAGAUCCUAAAUUUUCAAACCCCCUAAAACCGAGGACAGACAGACACUAUAUUUUUUCUGAUCGAUUUUGAUAUAUGGAACAUUGAAAUCGAAGUUUGUAUGUGAAAGUUAUGGCUGUUUUACGAACGGACUCCGAAUUAGAGGACAAAACGGUCCGAAAGUGGGAAAAUUUUGCGGCGGUGGCA
rnacentral:lncRNA from 1 species